GUUUAAUGGUACAUUCCUAGAUACGUGGGGCUUCUGGAGUUGUACAAGAUGUUAGAUUCUAAAUGAACAGAGUAAGACUCACGGACGACUAAUAAAGCUCAAACCAAGUUUAUUCAACCACUGGGUCAUUCAGCUGUAUAAGACAAAGACAUGUUUACACAAGCACAAGUAUUUAUACCCCCCUUUAGGCUUUUGUCUCCUCCUUUUCUCUAAACACUACAUCUCUGUUGCUAGGCAGGAAGUUAUGUGAUGUGGGUAAUAAAACUGUUCCUUCUCCUUUCAUGGGACUUGACCUGACCUCGGCCCACAUUCCUCACUAAUCUUCAGCUAUCCACCCUUAUCAGUGAUCACAACCACGUGAUUGCCUUUUUCCUUACUUAGUAACUUUCCAAAACCGUGGAUCUUAUCCACCCUCAAUUAAACCCACCAUAUACAUUCCUCCUACAUAUAACCAUUAACUUCUGGUGUAGCAAGUAUUUCAAAUUACAACCUAACAAAGAGAAAUGCAGACCGGAGGACUUAGCCUACCAAUUGAAUGAAAUCAACAGUGUGUAAUGUAUUUUUUUUGUGUGUGUUGCUUUUGUGGUCAUGUAUGUUUGAUCAGUUUUUGUGUCAAUGUGCAUUAUUCAUACUAUUAGGAAGAAGCUUGCUGAACGGUCUGAAGAAAGCCUUGAGGUGUCAGAAUUCACAGUCAAAGGUAAAAGAGACAAAAUCAAUUUGUCUGACCUCAUUGGAACCUUGGGUAAGACCCCCAGUGCUUUAAUGAAGACGAAGAAGCAGCUGAAGAACUUUCAACACAACCAGAGCACCCUGGAAACACCCCUGACCAGGAAGUAGACAGAACGGAUCCAAAGAGAAGUGGCUUUUGAGAACGUCAAAAGAGGUGUCCUGCUGGCAGAGUGUGGUCCUACAGAACCAGAAGGCAUAGCAGCUGGUCUUCCCACUGAACCAGGAGCCAUCUGGCCCAAAACGCAUAGAGCAGGUGGUGGCUGGAUGGACGGACCCAAACCUUCCUAGAACAAGAUAUAUUCAGCCUCCUGCACAUGAACAAGCAGCCUCUCCAUGACCCUGUUCUGACUCCCACUGAGGAGGCUUCUCUGAGGGCCAUGAAUCUGGAGGGAGUCCCACCUCAAGCAUCCAGCAUGGGGUCAUAUGCAUAAGAUAAGCUAAAUCUGGUGUGUUAGUGCUGGGCAAGGGCAAAGACCUGCACACACUACUGCCCUUGACUUUAUUUUGUAUGUGCACUAAAAGGACAAUGUACUGGAAAAACAACAAUGCACAAAGGUUUUUCUAGAUGGUUAUUGAUGGUCUCACUUACCUACAACCAAUAUAUAAAACUUGAUUUUUUUUUUGUCAGGCUAAGAUCCGCCAUGCAGAUCUCCAAAAAGCCAGAGCUCUAUCGUCUUAUCAUGAAGCGAAAGUCAAAUGGGAAAUAAAAAUUAAAAACCGGCACAUAUCCUUCCAAUAUAGUGUACAGUUGACUAGGGCAUAUCCUUCCAUGAGUAACUCAGCAGUAAUCCGCUUCAAAAGAUCAUCUCUUUAUUCAAGCCUCCCAAUUCACUCUCUUCCUCCACCUGCCCUCUUUGUACAUAGUGCCGGAUUAUUAUUUUAAGCCCCUUUUCUCCCCAAUUUCGUGAUUACGAUCUUGUCUCAUCGCUGCAGCUCCUCAACGACCAAACUACAGAGGCAUGCUAUUGGGGGCCCGAUCGGCAGCCAGCACUAAAGCUUUAAGAAGUUGGCAACUUGUCCUACAGAUUCCAAAUUCCUGCAGGUAGGUUAUUUGCUUCCUGUGUGAACUCAGCCCAAAUGUUCAGGGAAUGCGCAAGGUGUCAUCACCCAUGCCCCAAUACUAACUUGAAGGACAACACUACUGUGUUUACCUGGAUGCAUGCCACCCAACACCACGGUUUAAUUUGUGUUAGAACUUAAGAACACCAAAUCUAAUAUUUCAACCUUUGUGAAUCUAUGAAACGAGAUGAUCCAUUUUUGUCUGCACUUAUUGCACAAAUGAUAUGAAAUGUCAUUGAAUGUAUGAUAAGAAUUCAAAGAAAAGAGAUACAUUUACCAAUAAAU